rnacentral:rRNA from 1 species
AUGGCAAUGCCAAUCGUGAGCGCCGCGGCGGGGGUGAUGAACCCCCUCAUCAGCAAGCUCACCAUGCUGAUGGGAGAUGAGUACAAGAAGCUCAAAGGAGUGAGGAAGGAGGUGGCUUUUCUCAGGGACGAGCUCAGUGCCAUGAAUGCUGCCCUUGAGAAGCUGGAGUUCGUGGAAAAGCUCGAGCCAGAUACCAAGAACUGGAGGGACCAUGUCAGGGAGAUGGCCUACGACAUGGAGAACUGCAUCGAUGACUUCAUGCAGAAUAUUGGAGGUGCCGACGCCAGCGCCAGCUUCAUGAAGAGGACUGCUCGGCGCCUGAAGACAUUGCGUGCGCGUCACCGGAUUGCUGGCCAGAUCCAGGAGCUCAAGGCUCUUGCAGUAGAGGCAAAGGAACGGCAAAUAAGGUACAAGAUUGAUGGUUGUAAUACUAGUUGUGGCACUGUGGAUAUUGAUCCUCGGAUUUCAGCGAUCUACAAAGACGCUGCUGGACUUGUGGGUACUGAUGGCCCAAAGAAGGAGGUUGUCAGUUUGUUGGUAGACACCGACAACAAGCUCAAGGUGGUGUCCAUCGUGGGAUUUGGGGGACUGGGUAAAACUACACUUGCUAAUCAGGUAUAUGACGAUCUUAAAGAGCAGUUUGACUGUAAGGCAUUUAUUCCUGUCUCUCAAAAACCAGACAUGACUCGGCUUCUCAAUAGCCUAAGAUUAAAUCUUGGGAUAAAUGAGUCCUCUGGUAUUUGUGAGGUGCAAGACAUCAUCCGUCAACUUAGAGAACACCUUGCAAACAAGAGGUAUUUUGUUAUUGUCGAUGACUUGUGGGAUCAAGGAGCAUGGGAGAUUAUAAGAUGUGCCUUUCCAGAAAAUGGUAAUGGGAGUAGAGUAAUAGUAACCACACGAGUGGAAGCCGUUGCAAUCUCAGCAUGUUCUUGUCACUGUAAGCACAUUUACAGAAUGAAGCCCCUCAGCACUGAAGAUUCCAGAAGCUUAUUCAUGAAGAGAGUAUUUGGGUCUGAAAACAUGUGCCCGUCUAAUUAUGAAAAAGUUUCAACUGAAAUUCUGAAGAAGUGUGGCGGAUUACCACUUGCAAUUAUUACUAUAGCUAGCCUAUUGGCUUGUCGCCGAGAAAGAUCAAGGAAUGACUGGGAGAACAUACGGAAUUCUCUAGGUGCCCAGUUUGCUACAAACCCCACACUGAAAGAUAUGAGGAGUAUAUUAAACCUCAGCUAUAUGAAUCUUCCUCUUCAUCUCCGCACUUGUUUUCUUUACAUUGGUAUGUAUCCAGAAGACUAUGAGAUAAGGAGGGAUGAUCUAGUUCGAAAAUGGAUAGCCGAAGGCUUUAUCAGUAAUUUGCAUGGACCAAAUUUGGAGGAUGUUGGGAUAAGUUAUUUCAAUGAGCUAGUCAAUAGAAGCUUGAUUCAGCGUGUAAUGACCUACAAGGGAGUUUACUGCAAAGUACAUGAUAUGAUGCUAGAUUUGAUCCUAAGCAAGUGUGCAGAAGACAAUUUUAAUAGUGUGGCAUAUACUUCCGAAGACAUGACAAGACUCUGUAACUGCACGUACAAGAUUCGUCGGCUGUCCCUCAUCUCAAGUGUUGAUAGAAGAAAAAGGGAAACAGUAUCAUGGACAGUUUCAGGUAGCAUAUCGCAAGUUCGGUCAUUUGUGUGGUUCGGAGAUUGCAAGUUCAUACCUCGUCUUUCUCAGUUAAAGUAUAUCCGUGUGUUAUGCUUUGAACAAGAUUUAUAUGCGGAUUCAGAUCCCAAUUCAUGUCUCGACCUCACUGCUGUCAGCCAAUUGUUUCAUCUGAGGUAUUUGAGGGUUUCAGAGUAUGUGUAUGCAGAGCUUCCUGCUGAAAUUAAGGGGCUUGUGCAUUUGGAUACGUUGGAUGUCACGAAUGGAAGCAUCCCGUCAGACAUGGUGCACUUGCCCCGCUUGUCCUAUCUCAUAAUGAGUCGUUUUGACGGGCUACCUGAAAGGAUCGGGCUUAUGGAAUCUCUCCGCACACUAGAUGGUUUCGAACUGGUGGACAGCUCGCUGGAGGCUAUUAAGGGCCUCGGCAAGCUGACUAAUCUGAGAAACCUGACCCUUGUUAUGGGUGCAGAGUGCAGCACUUGCAAUCUGGAGAAGGCGAAGUGUGAUGCUUUGGCCUCUUCUAUUUGUAAGCUACGCAACCUCAAAUAUCUCGGGAUCACAGGCAUGAUUGAUGAUAAUUAUGACGUUCUAGGCUCAAUUUCAGAUCCUCCUGCCCUUAUCGAGGAAAUGUGCGUUGACAUGUGGGCGUUCUUGAGAGUUCCUAAAUGGAUCGGUGAUCUCCAUUGCCUGCAUACCCUGCAAUUACGUGUCAGGGAGAUGAAAAAUGAUGGGAUAACUAUUCUUGGAGAACUGCCAUCCCUCGUCGACCUCAGCCUUUCCUUUGAUAAAUGCUUUAAAGAAGAGGCUGUAAUCUUCGGCAAGGGCUUAUUCCAAGUUCUCGAGCGUCUUGGCUUCUACUCUAGGGAAGGUAUUACAACACAUGUGGGUUUCGAGGCAGGAGCUGUGCCCAAGCUACGAAAGCUCGAUCUGAAAGUCGACUGGCCACAGUGGGGCGGAGCUACACCAGUCGGCAUGGAGCACCUCUUGGAGCUCCAGCAAAUACGUUUAAUUGUAUCCCGCAUCAAGAAGGAAUCUUUUGAACAAGUGAAGCUCGUAGUCCAGUCUGCAUUUGGUAACGCCCUGCAACUGCUGCCAAGGCGUCCUUCGUUGGAUAUUGAAUGUUACUCCUGGUGA